UUUAUGGAGAGUUUGAUCCUGGCUCAGGAUUAACGCUGGCGGCGUGCCUAACACAUGCAAGUCGAACGAGGUAGCAAUACCUAGUGGCAGACGGGUGAGUAACGCGUGGUCAACCUACCGUUGUGUGGGGGAUAA
rnacentral:rRNA from 1 species